UAUCUCCCCUCCCCCGCUCCCUCUGUCUCCCUCUCUCCCUCCCCUCUCCCCUCUCCCAUGAGAGGACACAGCCAGAAGGAGACCGUCUGCAAGCCAAGGAGAGAAGCCUCACCAGCCAUGGAAUCUAUAGGCACCUUGAUGUUGGACUUCCAGCCUCCAGAGCUAUGGAAGCCAACCGUCGGGAGCACACACACCACAUUACAAGGAUCCCAGCCAGGCCCAGGAGGGGAAGCAAGGACACCCUAGAGGCAGAGAGAACUGGCAGGUAGCACCGUGGGGGAUGAGAGCGGGUUGGAAUCUAGAUCCUUCUUGAGAAAGGAGGACGCUGGAGGGUGGGAUGUGAAAACUGGGGGAGAGAAGACUCAGAGGUCACUGGAGGUCUGAACAAGUGCAAGGAUAGAGGUGCCCCGAGCUGACACGGGUGGCCUGGGCAGGGGCCGGUGUGUUGGGGGAGAUCCUGGGGUCUGGAGGCCAGGGGUCGGGCCAUGAGGCCGUACCGGCAAAGGCGGUGCGGGCCCUGAAACCAGGCGAAGACAGAGCUGGCGGGAGGCAGCGGCCCCAAAGUCAGGACCGAGGAGGGCCGGGCUGACUGCCAAGGAAGGCCGGGCUGGCUGCCAAGGUCAACCAGGUGGAGGCCUUCGGGGUUCGGCAAGAGCAGUUCUGUGAGCUGGCGGAGCCUGGCGUCUGCCUGCGUGACGUGGAGGAACCGCAGGCGGCGACCGCGGACAGAAUGUCCUCCUGAGUCCUCAUACAACCUAUCCUUAGGCGGUAACAGGCUGCAGCUGUUGAAGUCUAAUUUCACUCUAUUGAUUGCCAUGUAAGACAUGCCUGUGCCUGCUUCCCCUUUGCCUUCUGCCAUGACUGAAAGUUUCCUAAGGCCUCCUCAGAAGCCGAGCAGAUGCCAGCAUCAUGCUUCCUCUAAAGCCUGUGGAACCAUGAGCCAAAUGAAGUCUUGCUCUACCAUCCAGGCUGGAGUGAAGUGGCAUGAUCUCAGCUCACUGGAAUGUCCACCUCCUAGGUUCAAGUGAUUCUCCUGCCUCAGCCUCCCAAGUGGCUGGGAUUACAGGAUUUUUCAUGGGCCGAUCUGCUGAAUUCAGCCUAGGAGCUGAGACCAACAUCUGAGUCUCUUCAGCACACAAGUUUGAAAGAAGUCCUAGCAACUUCAAGCUCAGAACUACGGGUGGCAGCAGCUCCCUCUUGACGUCGAAGCCUCCCAUUCCAGAGAGAGUCAAGGCCUGGAUCAAACAAAGCCCACAAGCACCGAUGACUGAGCUGCUGACUACCCCCAGCAUCUCCAACUCAACCUCCUCUUUCUGCCUCUACCCAAAUUUUAAAACUUUCAAACAUGGGUUUAAAAAUGGUAAUGAGUAAAGUUGCAUCCAAGUGUAUCAAAUAAAAC
rnacentral:lncRNA from 1 species